rnacentral:lncRNA from 1 species
UCAUAAAGUCUGGUCCACAAUAGACACUCUAUAAGUGGGAGCUUAAAAUCUGCAAGUGAAUACAAACAUCAAACAGCCACAGAAUGGCCUUGAAGCAGAGGAUAAUGUUGCAUUAAUGUACAGCAAAAUUCUCAGCACCAAACACAGGGAUCUGCAGCUGUCCGGAGGGACACUACUAGAAUACUCAAGGCUCCCUCUAAGUGGCAACAAUUGCAACUUCAAGAAACCCUGGCAAUCAUAGAAAACAGAUGAAUCCUCGCUGCUGCAAGAUCUGUUACUGGAUUCUGAUUUGGUCCCGCCUGGAUCAGGGGGUCACCAUGAGACCAAUCACCUUCUGAGAUGGGAGAGUCAAGCCCGCCCCUGAGACCAGGGAAGUAGGACAAAGAGACUGGCACACAAGCUUUGCUGAAGUUUAUGUGGAUACAGGACAGGUACAAUAGUCACUACAAUAGUUCUCUAAUGUUCCAUGAGUGUAUCUAGGUUUCUGUUAUGAGAGAGAAGGACCUAUCAUUAUAAAGUACUAUUUCCAGGGCUGCUGCUGUGGCAUAGUGGGUAAAGCUACUGCCUGC